rnacentral:rRNA from 1 species
GACGUAGGGCGCGAGCGUUGUCCGGAUUUAUUGGGCGUAAAGAGCUCGUAGGCGGCUUGUCGCGUCGACUGUGAAAACCCGCGGCUCAACUGCGGGCUUGCAGCCGAUACGGGCAUGCUAGAGUUCGGUAGGGGAGACUGGAAUUCCUGGUGUAGCGGCGAAAUGCGCAGAUAUCAGGAGGAACACCGGUGGCGAAGGCGGGUCUCUGGGCCGAUACUGACGCUGAGGAGCGAAAGCGUGGGGAGCGAACAGG